UACCAGCACCUCGAGUGGUCGGGACGUUUAUUGGGCCUAAAGCAUCCGUAGCCGGUUCUACAAGUCUUCCGUUAAAUCCAACUGCUUAACAGGUGGGCUGCGGAAGAUACUAUAGAGCUAGGAGGCGGGAGAGGCAAGCGGUACUCGAUGGGUAGGGGUAAAAUCCGUUGAUCCAUUGAAGACCACCAGUGGCGAAGGCGGCUUGCCAGAACGCGCUCGACGGUGAGGGAUGAAAGCUGGGGGAGCAAACCGG
rnacentral:rRNA from 1 species